GAGGGUUCUCACCCCCCACUCCUUGAAGUCUGGCCAUUUGGGUGGGAGAGGCUGGAGCAGCCAGUGAGGACACUCAGCACAGUGUGGGCAACCGGACAGGAUGGAUUUGAAUUUAUAAAGAACCUGCCUUCCUUCCUUCAUGUUCCAAGCAAAUGUUCCAGGUAUUUCAGCCACAUGCUGGAGAGGAUUAUAAAUAUCCAAGGGAAACAGAGACCAUCUGGAGUCAUCCCUACGUUGUGGAGGGGUCCCACAAGAGCCCAUUAGAGAGCUUGUCACUUCACGGCUGCUUGGCUGCCAUGGCUCCUUCCAUCACAUCCUCAGAAGACAGCAGCCCAAGCCAAAGGGACAAAAAAGACCUCUCCUUGGACCUAUUGCUUACCAGAAAGAAAAGGUCCCAAGGCCUCCACUGGUCUCACUGGCAAGGACUGAAUCACAUGUCCAUCAGGAUUCACACCCCUGAGCAGGGCUCCCCGUCCCUUGGACAGAAUUGGAGUUGGGGUAACAGGAAAGAAAAGGGUGUUGCACAGCGACAAGUGCCCACCACAGGUACCCACAGCUUCUUCCAUUGCUCCUCGGAAGGCAACAAGGAGAAACCCCAUCAUUUUUGAGAGCUUUGGUGUCAUUACAUUUCAAUAACAAAAGGUCAUUUCCCUUUUU